UCUGGGAGUAUGUGAGGGUCAAUGUCAGCGAGCUCGCUGUUGAGGAGCUGAGAGUCCCUGAGUACCUGCAGUUCAAGGAACAGCUUGUGGAAGAAGGGUAUAAAUUUGCGCUUAAACUUGGAAUUUGUAUAUAAGCUGAUCAUGCUUGAUUUUUUGAAAAAGGUUCAGCUCAUAUAUGAUAAGUUUAUAAUACUUUGAUGUAUAUAUUUCAGCCCCAACAACAACUUUGUUCUUGAACUGGACUUUGAGCCAUUCAAUGCGUCCUUCCCCCGUCCUUCUCUGUCCAAGUCCAUUGGCAAUGGUGUGCAGUUCCUCAACAGGCACCUGUCGUCAAAGCUGUUCCAUGACAAGGAGAGCAUGUACCCCCUGCUCAACUUCCUUCGUGCCCACAACUACAAAGGCAUGGUGAGCCAAUAUUUCAUUUGUUUCUUUAAUUCAAUGUUGCAGAUAAUUAGUCAAAUAGAAUUUUUCAACAAAGUAAUGUCAAGUAGAAAUUGUGGAUUAUUAAGGCUGAUGUGUGAUGCAAACAUUGUAAAACUGUGGUGGUCCUGAUUUUUACACUUUUUUAACAAUAGGCAGACAUCAUUCAGGGGCGUUCGGUGUAGCUGGUGUCUAAAUUCUAAAAUACUGAUUUGUCAGUUUAUAAUAACAAAAACUGAGUAUAUAAUAUUUUUGAACCACAAUAUAGCCUUGAACUAUUUCUUCAUUUAUC
rnacentral:lncRNA from 1 species